rnacentral:rRNA from 1 species
UCGAGAAUCUUCGGCAAUGGGCGAAAGCCUGACCGAGCGACGCCGCGUGCGGGAUGAAGGCCUUCGGGUUGUAAACCGCUGUCAGUGGGGAGGAAAUUCUGGAGGGUUCUCCCUUCAGUUUGACCUAUCCGCAGAGGAAGUCCGGGCUAAGUUCGUGCCAGCAGCCGCGGUAACACGAACCGGACGAACGUUAUUCGGAAUCACUGGGCUUAAAGGGUGCGUAGGCGGCCUGGCAAGUUGGGUGUGAAAUCCCUCGGCUUAACCGAGGAAUUGCGCUCAAAACUGCCGGGCUUGAGGGAGUUAGAGGUGAGCGGAACUUAGGGUGGAGCGGUGAAAUGCGUUGAUAUCCUAAGGAACACCAGUGGCGAAAGCGGCUCACUGGAGCUCUUCUGACGCUGAGGCACGAAAGCUAGGGGAGCGAACGGGAUUAGAUACCCCCGGUAGUCCUAGCCGUAAACGAUGAGCACUGGAUCGGAGGACACUCCAUAGUCUUCUGGUCGUAGCGAAAGUGUUAAG